rnacentral:rRNA from 1 species
UACGUAGGGACCGAGCGUUGUCCGGAUUCAUUGGGCGUAAAGAGCUCGUAGGCGGCUGUUCAAGUCGAACGUGAAAACUCGGAGCUCAACUCCGAGCCUGCGUUCGAUACUGGACGGCUAGAGUCUGGUAGGGGAUCUGGAAUUCCUGGUGUGAGCGGUGGAAUCGCGCAGAUAUCAGGAGGAACACCGGUGGCGAAGGCGGGAUCCUGGGCCAGUACUGACGCUGAGGAGCGAAAGCGUGGGGAGCAAACAGG